GCUCUGGUGGCUCAACCGGAUAGAGCGUUGGACUUCUGAUCCCAAGGCUGCAGGUUCAGAUCCCGUUCAGAGCA